UGAUUAAGAGUUUGAUCCUGGCUCAGGAUGAACGCUGGCGGCGUGCCUAACACAUGCAAGUCGAGCGCGAUUAAUUGGACUGGAGGCUUCGGCCAAAGGGAAGAUUAUGAAAGCGGCGGACGGGUGAGUAACGCGUGAGCAACCUGCCCUGUACAGGGGGAUAGCCACUGGAAACGGUGAUUAAUACCCCAUAAACCCAAAAGAUCGCAUGGUCUAAUGG
rnacentral:rRNA from 1 species